UACGUAGGGUGCGAGCGUUAAUCGGAAUUACUGGGCGUAAAGCGUGCGCAGGCGGUUUUGUAAGCCAGAUGUGAAAUCCCCGGGCUUUAACCUGGGAAUGGCAUUUGGGACUGCAAGGCUGGAGUUUGGCAGAGGAGACUGGAAUUCUCGGUGUAGCAGUGAAAUGCGUAGAUAUCGAGAGGAACACCAGUGGCGAAGGCGAGUCCCUGGACAACACCUGACACUGAGGCACGAAAGCUAGGGUAGCGAACGGG
rnacentral:rRNA from 1 species